CCCCCACACCCCCCCCCCACGUCCUGCAUAUCAGAGGAGCUCAAGAAACAAAUUCGCUCAGCACAUAUUGGGUUGUCUCAGAUCUAGGGAUGAACUCGCCGGUCAGUCUCAUACUCGAUCGUUCUCAAUCAUUUUCACCCCAUAUUACAAAUGAUCGACUUUGAUCUAACCUUGAAUCUCUUGACUGGCCGGGUUCUUAUCUUGUUCACUUCUGAGAUCAAGAACGGAGCAAACCCAAACUAGAUUACAUUCAUUCAUCGGGUUUCCAUCAGUUGAGGGAGCUCAGUGGAAGAAUCGGAGCAAGCCACAAUGGAAGUCGCGAAUCCUAUUCCAAUUCCAUUGAAUUCGCUGUGCUUCUGGAUACUUGUGUGUUACAUUUGGAGGUUUUUCAUGAGAUGCAACAUUUGAGAUUAGCGAUUCAACUUGAAAAACAAA